GAUGAACGCUAGCGGCAGGCUUAAUACAUGCAAGUCGAGGGGUAGCAAGAUUGUAGCAAUACAAUUGUUGACGACCGGCAAACGGGUGCGGAACACGUACACAACCUUCCUACAAGUGGGGAAUAGCCCAGAGAAAUUUGGAUUAAUACCCCGUAACAUAGCGAUGUGGCAUCACAUUGCUAUUAUAGCUUCGGCGCUUGUUGAUGGGUGUGCGGCUGAUUAGAUAGUUGGCGGGGUAACGGCCCACCAAGUCUACGAUCAGUAGCUGAUGUGAGAGCAUGAUCAGCAACACGGGCACUGAGACACGGGCCCGACUCCUACGGGAGGCAGCAGUAAGGAAUAUUGGACAAUGGACGCAAGUUUGAUCCAGCCAUGCCGCGUGAAGGAUUAAGGUCCUCUGGAUUGUAAACUUCUUUUAUAAGGGACGAAAAAAGGUCUUUCUAGAUCGUCUGACGGUACCUUAUGAAUAAGCACCGGCUAACUCCGUGCCAGCCGCCGCGGUAAAAC
rnacentral:rRNA from 1 species